rnacentral:rRNA from 1 species
CGAAAGGGAAACAGCCCAGACCACCAGCUAAGGUCCCAAAAUAUAUGUUAAGUGGAAAAGGAUGUGGCGUUGCCCAGACAACUAGGAUGUUGGCUUAGAAGCAGCCAUCAUUUAAAGAGUGCGUAAUAGCUCACUAGUCGAGUGACACUGCGCCGAAAAUGUACCGGGGCUAAACAUAUUACCGAAGCUGUGGAUUGUCCUUUGGACAAUGGUAGGAGAGCGUUCUAAGGGCGUUGAAGCAUGAUCGUAAGGACAUGUGGAGCGCUUAGAAGUGAGAAUGCCGGUGUGAGUAGCGAAAGACGGGUGAGAAUCCCGUCCACCGAUUGACUAAGGUUUCCAGAGGAAGGCUCGUCCGCUCUGGGUUAGUCGGGUCCUAAGCUGAGGCCGACAGGCGUAGGCGAUGGAUAACAGGUUGAUAUUCCUGUACCACCUAUAAUCGUUUUAAUCGAUGGGGGGACGC